rnacentral:miRNA from 14 species
GGGUCGGGGAGGAUGUAGAGGCUGGGCUGGCAGACUUGUCACAACCUCUACUUCUACUCAG